AGGGUUCGAUUAUGGCUCAGAACGUACGCUGGCGGCACGCCUUAUACAUGCAAGUCGAACGAAGUAGCAAUACUUAGUGGCGGACGGGUGAGUAUGAUGUGGGUAUCUGUCCAUUGGUUUGGAAUAACACGGGGAAACUUGUGCUAAUACUGAAUAAGCCUUCACAGGGAAAGCUUUAUGCGCCGAUGGAUGAGCCCGCACUUGAUUAGCUUGUUGGUGAGGUAAAAGCUCACCAAGGCUACGACCAAUAGCUGAUCUGAGAGGAUGAUCAGCCACAUUGGGACUGAGACACGGCCCAAACUCCUACGGGAGGCAGCAGUAGGGAAUAUUGCACAAUGGAGGAAACUCUGAUGCAGCGAUGCCGCGUGAGUGAAGAAGGCCUUUGGGUUGUAAAGCUCUUUCGUCGGGGAAGAAAAUGACUGUACCCGAAUAAGAAGGUCCGGCUAACUUCGUGCCAGCCGCCGCGGUAAUAC
rnacentral:rRNA from 1 species